ACUCCUACGGGAGGCAGCAGUGGGGAAUAUUGCGCAAUGGGCGGAAGCCUGACGCAGCGACGCCGCGUGGGGGAUGACGGCCUUCGGGUUGUAAACCUCUUUCGGCCUUGACGAAGCUCUUCGGGGUGACGGUAGGGGCAGAAGAAGCACCGGCCAACUACGUGCCAGCAGCCGCGGUAAUACGUAGGGUGCGAGCGUUGUCCGGAAUUAUUGGGCGUAAAGAGCUCGUAGGCGGUCUGUCGCGUCGGUCGUGAAAACUUGGGGCUUAACCCUGAGCUUGCGGUCGAUACGGGCAUGACUGGAGUUCGGCAGGGGAGACUGGAAUUCCUGGUGUAGCGGUGAAAUGC
rnacentral:rRNA from 1 species